rnacentral:rRNA from 1 species
GAUGAACGCUAGCUACAGGCUUAACACAUGCAAGUCGAGGGGAAACGACAUCGAAAGCUUGCUUUUGAUGGGCGUCGACCGGCGCACGGGUGAGUAACGCGUAUCCAACCUGCCCACCACUUGGGGAUAACCUUGCGAAAGUAAGACUAAUACCCAAUGAUAUCCCACGAAGACAUCUGAAUGGGAUUAAUGAUUUAUCGGUGAUGGAUGGUGAUGCGUCUGAUUAGCUUGUUGGCGGGGUAACGGCCCACCAAGGCAACGAUCAGUAGGGGUUAUGAGAGGAAGGUCCACCAGAAUUGAGACACGGCACAGUCCAAAAUGCUACGGAGGACAGCGGUGUGUAAUAUUAGUCAAUGGGCGAGGGCCUGAACCAGCCAAGUAGCGGGCAGAAAGACGGCCCUAGGGGUUGUAAUCUGCUUUGAUAAGAGAAUAAAGUGUGUCACGCGUGACUUUUUGCAUGUACCUUAUGAAUAAGGACCGGCUAAUUCCGUG